rnacentral:miRNA from 1 species
UUCGUAUCGUGACCUGUAUCG